GGUCCCACAUCUCUCUCUCUCUUAAUUCAACCGACAACUUUUCUUCUUCCUCGGUUCUUCUUUUCCAGUUCUUGUUCUUCCUUUGUUUUUUCUUUUUUUUCCUCUUUCAUUUUGGAAUUGGGAAAUUAUGGUUGAUAAGAUAACCAUGGUUUUUUGGUUUCUUAUCUUAUGUACAAAAGUUCAGUGGGAAUAUUUAGCUUUUUGUUUUGUGAUUCUUGAUUGCAGGAUCUUGGCGAUAGUGUUAGCUUCUAGUUGAGAAAAUAUCUGAGAAUGCUUACCACCGGAAAAGCUCUCUGGACAGUGACAAAACUCGGAUGACCCCAUCCCCAUUCAUGUAAUUUUUCUCAUUCUUCUUCUUUUCUGUUUCAACAUGACCCCACCCCUCUUUUCUGUUCCGACAUCUAUUGGAAAUCUAUUUGGAAUUUACAGUCUACUGAUAAGUGAGACUACUUAUUAGCGCCUUUUAGCUUUUAUUUUAGUCCAAAAGUAUUUAAUUAUAUUCCCGAAAAUUGAUAAAUAUGCUUAUUUGCAGGAGCAUUGAAAAAUGAGCCAUUACGAUAAAAUCUAACUCAAGAAGGAGUGAUUUUGAACAAGGACAAAAAUCAAGCACACAAGCUCAAGUGCGGACCGCAGAUUUCUAUCUGCGGCCGCAAAAUGUGAAGAAGAAUCAACAGAGCUCCAGUGCAAAGUGCGGACCGCACAAUAAUUAUGCGGCCGUAGAAGUUAAAGUUCAGAGAGAUCAACUUCAAGCUAAAAAAUUAAUGUGGACUGCACUAUAAUUGUGCGGCCGCAGAAAUCAACUAUGGGACCGCACUCAGGAAAUGUGCGGUCCGCAAAAGAGCCCAGUGCGGUCGCACCCAGAAUUGUGCGGAUCGCAGAACUUAAGAGACGCGGCCGCAAUCCAGAAUUGUGCGGCUGCAGAACCAAAUCCUGUCAAGAGCUGAAGAGAAGUGCGGACCGCACACAGAAUUAUGCGGCCGCAGAACCUCCAAAAGGGCAUUUUUGUCCGAAAAUUCCAGCUGUUUAUAAAUAGACUUCUUUCAUGAAAUUAGGUCAAGUUUUGAAUACUGACAAGUCUGUAGCCGUUUUUCUUUACCGUUUUAGGAAACUUUAGCUUAUAUUGGUGAUUUAACCUUGGAUUUUCAUCUAUUAAUCUUGCAAUAUGAGUUUUAUCAUCUUUUAUUCUUUAUUUUCUUCAAUACCCAGUAUGAGUAGUAAGAUUUUUAGCUAGGGUUGUGACCCAACCCUAGUGUGUAAAUCUAAUGGAUGUUUGAUUUAUGGCUUGUUUAUGGUUGAGUGUUUAUUAUUUAGCCUUGUUAUUGCUUAUAAUUGUAG
rnacentral:lncRNA from 1 species